rnacentral:rRNA from 1 species
GAUGAACGCUGGCGGCGUGAUUAACACAUGCAAGUCGAACGGUAAGGUCCCUUCGGGGGACACACGAGUGGCGAACGGGUGAGUAACACGUGGGCAACCUGCCCCUCACAUCGGGAUAACCACCGAAACGGUGGCUAAUACCGGAUACUCCGGCGAGAUCGCAUGGUCUUGCCGGGAAAGCUCCGGCGGAGAGGGAUGGGCCCGCGCCCCAUUAGCUUGUUGGUGGGGUAAUGGCCUACCAAGGCGACGAUGGGUAGCCGAGCUGAGAGGCUGAUCGGCCACACUGGGGACUGAGACACGGACCAGACUCCUACGGGAGGCAGCA